rfam:Haloplasma contractile SSD-17B Contig4, whole genome shotgun sequence.
AGAAGGCUGUGAAGUGAAAGGUUGCUGACACACCCGGGUGCAUUGUUUUGGCAAAAUGGUGUAAUCAGGUAAUUUUCAUGGAGCAAGUCUAUUUUAAAAAUAGGCGA